GGGUGAGGGGUCACUCGGGAGCGCUUCCAGGCAGCGCCGCUCCGGCUGCAGCACUUCAGCGGGAUGCGGGCAGGAGCCGUGCCAGGCACGGCCCAGGGAAACGACACAGCCCUUCCUAGAAAUGCGCCCUGGGGCUUAAGAGAUGGACCUAAUUGAAAAAAACUCUAUCGAGGUUGUAGCAGCAGGGAUAAAAGGGAAAGCUGGGCCCAGAUUAACCUGGACUCAGCGAGCGGGGAAGCGCGGCAGCCGUGGCCGGGUCCCGGCGGCGAUUCCCGGCUGAAUCCAUGCUGGGAGAGGUGCUCUGUGCUGGAUGCGGGGGGUCUCUGUGCCUCAGGUACGUGCUCGCUCCCCUCCCGACCCCUCCCGCCCCAUCCCGCUGCAUUUUCUCCGGGGGUGCUUCCAGCCCACGCGGUUCCUGCUGCUCCUGCCAGCAGCCCGUGCUUGGGCAAUGCUGGAGCUGCUCCAGUUCCCCCGGAGCUGCAUCUUCAGCACUCGUGACAUCCUCCUCCCUCCCCACGCCUGGCAUCCCCUCCGGGCCCGCUCGCCAGCCCUGGGUGACCCUGGAUCUCCGGGAGGGAGUUUCUUCUCUGCUCCCGGCACCGGUUGCCACUUCCCAGCUCCUGCAAGCCCUUUCUGGGGCAGGUCCAGAGCCAGGCUGGGAGCAGCCCCUUCCCCUGCUCGGGCCAGAAGGGACGGGGGCAGGAGGAGAGAGGUGGCCUCGUUGCUGGGUUAGCACCGAGCCAGGGUGACGUGUCACCUGCGUUAGCAGACCCCGGCACUCGGUGACCCAGAAAGCUGCUUCCUCCCCCUCCCUGCUGAAAGGGGAGCCCAGCUGGUGUUUGCAGGAGCAGCUCCUGAAGGGAGCCAGCAGAGCCUCUCCGGGCUCUCCAGCCAAAGCUUUUCUUGUGGCCAGUGUUUGCACAACACGUCCCUUGUCCCUGCGGUUCCUCUGGCGCCUGGGAAGCAUCAGCUCUCCCUGCCCUUCCCCCGGAGGGAAUGUGGGAGGCUGCCCUCCAUCCUCACCCUCUCACCAGGGCUUCAGCCCCGGGGCAGGAUGGAGCAGGAGGGUUGGGAAGCAGCACAGCUACCAAAGGGACACAGCCAGGACUGGAAACCGGCCAGUGACCACCCCAGGGGGCAGCCGAGUGCUGGCCGGCUCUGGAAUCUUCCCCCAGGGAGUGAAGGUGGCUCCGUGCCCCCCACCCCCUGAGCCCACCCUCCUCCUCCUCCCCUGGCCAGCUGGCUCUUGCUGGGCUCUGGCCACUUGCCCUGACGUGAUGCUGAGCAGGUCACAGCUCAGAGCCUUGUGACAGGAAUCAGGAGCUCCUGGAAGGGCUGUGACCCUGCACUGGGCUGCUCCUGUUCCUGGCACUCAGCUCUCCCUACCCUGCUCACCCAGCAGUGACCAGGAGGGGCUCCAGGCCAUUCCCUGUCACCUCAGAGUGGACAACCCCCACUUUUAAACCUUCACAAAGGUUUUUGCUUUGCUCACCAGCCCCGGGGAGGACGGGAAAGGGUGUUUGACGCUGUGUUUGUGCCUAUCAGGUGUCAGCAGAGCAGCUGGAGCUGUGCUGCACCCGCAGAACUAACCACAGGUAUUUUAGCAGCCUGGUGUUUAUGUUUCCCACCCCUGCUGCAGCAAGACAAUCACUUUCUGUCACUGUUGUAGCAACAACUGCUGUUCCAGGCCAGGCUAAUUCUAGCCCUCGUGGGUUUGGGGCUGUUUGUUCUCACCCAGCAGCAGCAAACAGGUAGUUUUGGAGACAGCUCAAGGUGGAGGUGGGAUUUGUGCUGCUCUGACUGGAUUUGUGCUCCCUCGGAGUGAUCCCUGGCUCCAUGGGAUGCUGCAUGCUCUGAGUUUGGGAUGGAAUCUUGAAAGAUCAAGUUUGCCAGGCUCUGGUUCAGGAUUUGUCUCUAACUCUUGGACUUUGUAGCUGAACAGGGGAAAUAAAUCCACAUAAACCACUCAAUUUGUUAUUUUCUGGGAGGGGAAAAAAAGGAGCUGUGGGUUGCAAACAUCUCUGCCCAGGACAGUGCCUGCAGCUGGAGCUGCAGCCUUGCCCCUGUGGCACCCUCCCUGCUCCUGGAGCUUUGCAAUAACUCAGUUAUCUGACAAACUGAGAAGUCAGAUGGGGAAGGAAAUCAGCUCUUCCCAGAUUUCUGAUUUUCAUCAGACAUGGCAGCACCAAACCAGCAGAAAGUGGAGCAAAACCACCCGUUCCCUCUCCCUGCUGCCCUCCGUGCCCAUCCCAGCCGGGCUCGGUGGGUGGCUCUGAUCCCACCGGGGACCUCCCAGACUCCUGGCAUCACUUCUCUCCCGAUGCCUGGGUGAAGUGCCAAGCUUUCCUUCCCUUCCCUUCCCUUCCAUUCCCUCCCUCCGCAGCCGGGGGGUGUUUAAUGUGCGGCCGGCGUUCCCUGCAGGCCGGCGCCCUGCGUUUGAACCGACGCUUUUCAGCUCCGGCUGAAAAGGAGCCGGCGCGGGGCCUCGCCUCUUAAUUGCGGAGGAGGGGGAACAUGGAAAAGCCUCUGGCUGCUGCUAAUGCAGGAGAAGGCGGCUGCUGCGAGGCACAGCAACCUCCCAGCGGGGUGGGAGCCGAGCCGGAGCGCUCGUCCUGGGAAUGGUGAGGAACCCGCUGCCUCCUGCUGCAAUUCCCGCUGCCAGGCUGGGUUUGGGGCUGGGAAGGGGAAAAGAUCCUUCCUGCAAGCUGGAGAAGGUGGAGGUGUUGCCGGAGGUUGAUGUCUGUUGACAUCAGGACCUCAGGGUCCUCCCAGAGCCGGGUGUGGACAUUCACUGGCCAUUUGUGGGCACUUGGUAGCCCUCAGGCUGCUUGUAGGGGUGUUGGAUGCCCGGGGGCUUUGCUGACAGCCCAGGGCACUCCUUCCUCUCUAUCUCCCGGCUCUGGACUGGCUUGUGCAGCGGGGUGAGAGUAAAGCAGCGUUUCCUCAUCACCCAAGGGCUUUGCUUGGGGUUGGAGUGGGGGCUGGAUGGGAGGAGCCGGCGCUCCGCUAACCUGAUUAACCAGGUUCCCAACCAAGCUGGCCAAAGCCAAAGGCGGCCGGCGGCCACCUCCUGCAUCCCUCCUGCGAGGGGAACCCCCUGCCAGCCUCGGGGUGCGCUGCGAGGGGGGAUGCGACCGCGGGCAUCGGGUAAGUGCCACCCCCUCGGAGCUUUGUCCCUUUCCCCCUCCCCAGUGCUCCCCUGAGUGUCCCCCCAGCCCGGUCCCCGCUCCAGUGACGCCUGCGAUGAGUGUCUGGGGGUUUUUGGAGCGUGAACUCGUCGGGAUGCAAACAUUCCUUUGGCCUGGCGCUGGCACACUGGAGUUGGAGCCCCAGCAGCGAGCAGCAGGAAUCCCGCCGGGAUGCUCCCCGGGGGGAAUUCUCUACCCGAAUUCUGGAGCUGGAACCCGGCUCCCAGCCAUGGGAUGGGGGCUGCUGAGUUCUGCAAGGGUUUGGCCACAGGGGGUGAUUCCAGAGCAUCAGAUCCCAGAGGAGACUCCCUGUGCACAGAGCUGGGUGUCCCCACCGUGACCCUCCUCUGUCCCUGAGCGGUGUGAGCCACCAGCAGGUGCCCAAAUCCACAGGAGUUGCCACAAAACAGAUUUCCUGAUAUUUGGGCAGCCUCCAGGAGAGCUGCAGAGUGAGGUCCUGGGGAGGACUCCACUCCCCAGCCCUGGGAGGGGGUGUCACAGCUCAGGCUGCACCUGGGGAACUGAUAAAAAUACAGAAUUAAAAGCAGAGAGAGCAAAUUUUCACUUCCCCUUGCUGGGUGCUGCCAACCCACCUCAGGGCUUCUUGGAAAGGCAGGGGACAGGCAGGGGGAGCAGAGGCUUUCCUUGGCUCUUUGUGUGGCCCAGAGCUUGGAAGAGCCAAAAUGAGUCACUGACCCUCAUCCCAAUAAGCUUUUCCCAGCAGUGGUGGGAGGAGGGGUGAAGAUUUCCCAAUAAAGGGGACUUUUUUUUCACAGAAUAAUUUCCAGCAUCUUGAAAAAGAUGAUGUCCCCCAGUGGGAAUCCAUCCAGAAGCUCUUGGGAUAUCAGGGAUGCCCAAGAGGAGCAGGAUGAUGUGAAUUCCAGCAGUGCAUCCCAGCUCCAGCUCAGCUCUGGAGCAUCCCUCUCUUUCCCUGUGUGGACUCGGGGUUUUCUCUGCAAGAACCAACCCAAAACCAACCCAAUUCCUCCUGCUCACAACCUUCCCAAAAUAUUUUCAGCCCAGACCCCAGGAGAGGAGAAGCUGGGUUGGGACCCCUCACCCACCAACAGGCUCCUUCUCCACCCUCCCAAAAAGUUCUUCCUGAACCUCAUCGGGCCAGAUUGAGUCACUGGAGUGCCGUGACAUCAGCGGUGGUUUUGCGAGCGAGCAGCCGCGUUUCCUGUGGUGCCCGGGCUCCUGUAGACACAGACACGCAGGAGGGAUGUGAGCUUUGAGCUCCUGCUCCUUCCUCCCUCCCAGGAUCGCUUCCCCCACCCCUCACCUCUCUCCCCCAGCGCCAGCGGCGAGGGCCGGCGGCGGAGCUGGAGAGCUGGAUCCCGCUGAGAGGAUGAAAACAUGGGGCUCAAGUUAUCCUGCCUGAAAGGCUUGAAGAUGUGUGUGAGCAGCGGGAACGGCAGCGAGGGGACCCCGGCGGCGUCCUCGGGACAGAAGCACCUGCACGUGCCCUCCAUCAUCGUCACACCUCCCACGCCCACGGGCACCACGCUGUCCCGCGAGGGGCGGCGCGGGGAGGGACCCUCGCCCUGCAGCCAGUGCUGAGCUGGGGGACACAGGGGACACCCAGCCUGGCUGGGAUGGAGCCGCAGCCUGCGGGGAGCAGCUCCCAGCCACACACGGGGCGGGUUCGGACACCAAGGACUGGGGUUUGUGUCUUUUGCCAUCAGCGCCCCCACGAUGAAUAAAACCCCUGGGGCUCCACA